UACGUAGGGUGCAAGCGUUGUCCGGAAUUAUUGGGCGUAAAGAGCUUGUAGGCGGUUUGUCGCGUCUGCUGUGAAAUUUCGGGGCUCAACCCCGAACUUGCAGUGGGUACGGGCAGACUAGAGUGUGGUAGGGGAGACUGGAAUUCCUGGUGUAGCAGUGAAAUGCGUAGAUAUCAGGAGGAAUACCGAUGGCGAAGGCAGGUCUCUGGGCUGACACUGACGCUCAUGCGCGAAAGCGUGGGGAGCAAACAGG
rnacentral:rRNA from 1 species